rnacentral:rRNA from 1 species
AUUGAACGCUGGCGGCAUGCCUUACACAUGCAAGUCGAACGGCAGCACGGACUUCGGUCUGGUGGCGAGUGGCGAACGGGUGAGUAAUAUAUCGGAACAUACCUUGUAGUGGGGGAUAACUAUCCGAAAGGAUAGCUAAUACCGCAUACGCUCUAAGGAGGAAAGUGGGGGAUCGCAAGACCUCAUGCUAUAAGAGUGGCCGAUAUCUGAUUAGCUAGUUGGUGAGGUAAAGGCUCACCAAGGCGACGAUCAGUAGCUGGUCUGAGAGGACGACCAGCCACACUGGAACUGAGACACGGUCCAGACUCCUACGGGAGGCAGCAGUGGGGAAUUUUGGACAAUGGGGGCAACCCUGAUUCAGCAAUGCCGCGUGAGUGAAGAAGGCCUUCGGGUUGUAAAGCUCUUUUGUCAGGGAAGAAACGGUUGUGGCUAAUAUCCAUGGCUAAUGACGGUACCUGAAGAAUAAGCACCGGCUAACUACGUGCCAGCCGCCGCGGUAA